GCUCCUGUAUAAAUAUCUCGCAAAAGAACGCAGGAGAGAAUGGGAGACAGAGAGAGAGAGAGAGAGAGAGAGAGAGAGAGCGAGAGACAGAGUAGACUUGACAAGAAAAGAAUGAGGCUAAUCAUGAUGGCGAUUUUUCAUCUCCUCGCGUUGUUGGCGAUCGUGUCUAAACCAACUUCGCUGAUAGAUCCCCGAUCAUCUUAGUAUACAAGCGCAUUCAACAAGACGGGAGAUCUCGCAACAGAUGUAGCAACAAUCAUCUCUUCAGCCAUUGGAGAAAGAAAAGAAAACGUAAAAGAAAACCGUGCCACUUGCGAGGGGAGCCUUAACAAAAUAUUUAGUUAGUACUAUGAUUACAUUUUAUUUUGGGUUCUUUGUUUCCUUUACGUCACUUUUAUCUGAAUUUCAUCUAUACCAUCAUUCGAUUUCUUUUAUAUCAUCAGUUGACUUCUUUUAUAUUAUCAUAUGGAUUUCUUUGAUUAUAAGGUUCAGCACCUUUAUUAAUCUAAGUUUAUAAAGUUUCCACUCCUUUUUAUACAUUUAAAUAGUUUUCCUGUCGCCUUUAGCCCUCAUAAGCAUAGUCUGUGUUACAUCUGCUAUUACAUAAACCCGUGAGUGUGUAAUACAUACGAAAUGCACAAGUAUUAUUCAGUUUAUUCUUCAUUAUAGUUCAUCCUUAAUCCUUUGUUGAAUAAAAGGUAUGAUAAAAA
rnacentral:lncRNA from 1 species